rnacentral:rRNA from 1 species
GACGAACCGUGCGAACGUUGUUCGGAAUCACUGGGCUUAAAGGGCGCGUAGGCGGCUUCCCAAGCCCGGGGUGAAAUCUUUCGGCCUAACCGGAAAAGGGCUUCGGGGACUGGGGAGCUAGAGGGGGGUAGGGGCAAGCGGAACUUCCGGUGGAGCGGUGAAAUGCGUUGAUAUCGGAAGGAACGCCGGCGGCGAAAGCGGCUUGCUGGACCCCAUCUGACGCUGAUGCGCGAAAGCUAGGGGAGCGAACGGG